AGGCUUUUCCUUCCUAAACCUGGAGCCCGGCAGGUACUGGCUGCAUCAUCAGCGUCCCCGCGAGCAGUGCUCAGCGGGGACCGAUUGAGUCGGGCAGGAGCAGCAGUCAGUCACCUUCAGGGAGACGCUCUCAGCAUCCCGCCUGCCCUGCUCCACUCCUCAGGGCCCUGACACCCCCAACAUCCAAAUCGUGUUCCCAGGAGUCGUUGUUACGGGGUGCUGAUGUUGCCUGUCCUGCAAAACAAGAUUUGUGAUUUAAGCCUAAGAGGGGUCCCCAGGCAAGCCCAGGACUCGGAGGCCACCUGGGGUCCUGGAGCCAUCGAGGCGGGCUGGGGACCCUCGUCUCUGUUCCCCCAGGAGCAGAGCUGGGGUGUCCCCUCCUCUGCUCCAGCAGUGCUGUUCCUUCCUGUGCUCCCCAGGGACACGAGGCAGCCAAAGCAAGGUUUGACCUUGUUUCCACUUCCCAUCUUCUUUAUUUUUCUGUGCGUGUGGAAAACACGGAGCGGAACAACACGAGCCGAAGAAGAAAAGAAACUGAAUUCCAAGGCCACAAGAAAGAGGUGGCGGAGAGCUGUGUGCCACCCGGACCAUUACCAAUCACAUAUUCUGAGAAGUGCAUGCAGAACGUGUGGACGAGCAGAGACACCAAUAAGAAAUGCGUGGUCAGCGUGCACGGUAGAGUUAAAAUGUAUAAAUAAGCACAUAAUAUAAACAAUA